rnacentral:rRNA from 1 species
GACGGAGGUCCCGAGCGUUGUUCGGAAUUAUUGGGCUUAAAGCGCGUGUAGGCGGGACGGUAAGUACCUUGUGAAAUCCCCGGACUCAAUCCGGGAACUGCUUGGUAUACUGCCGACCUCGAGGCAGGUAGGGGUCACUGGAACCUUAGGUGGAGCGGUGAAAUGCGUAGAUAUCUAAGGGAACGCCUGUGGCGAAAGCGGGUGACUGGGCCUGUCCUGACGCUGAGACGCGAAAGCGUAGGGAGCAAACGGG